GGACUAUAUUAUGAGUUAAGGAAGCCAUGGGUUUGCUUAAAGCUUCGUAUCUGAAACGGGUAGAGGCUUUGUUGUUGCCAUGGAUGAACUCAUAUGGAGGUCCUUUGAUUCCUUGUAAACUCAGUGCUCUUUGUAUCUUAAAAGGUAUCCACCAGAAUUUAUGAAGGAAUUUCAAUAGAAAUAAGGUUAAAGAACCUGCCAGAAAGAUUAAAAGCCUUGCUGUUGAAUCCAUUCUCCUCUGUUUAAGAAUGAAUUCAGAUGUUGAUGUACAUAUAUACAUUUAAAAGCUGAAGUGAAGACAAAUAAGAAAGUUUAAAUUCAUUGAAACUUAAUUUAAUUGAUAUUUGACAUCAUGUGGAUAAAAAAAAUUAAUUUCAAAUAAAAAAAGUUUCUAAAAAUAAUAGUUUGAGUUGUCAUCCAUCCACUCCCUAAAUUUUCAGCAAUAAAAAAUACAUGGUGAUAUGAAAUUGUAUUAUGUCAUUGAUUUUUUUUAAAAUUAAUAAUUUUUUAUAAUAUUUUUCAAAUGAUGAUAUGGGAUAAUCUUAAAGUAUUAAGAUAUCCAAAUUGAAGGAUUCAAUUGAAAAAAUUAUCAAAUUUCAAAUUUGGACUAAGAAAUUUUGUUAAAUUCAAACAAUUUAUCCCUAAAAGAUUUUAUUGCAUCGUGGUUGUAAUGUAAUUUAGAACCUAAUGGACGGAUCCAAAUCAGUCCAUAAAUAUAUAUAUAUAUAUAUAUAAUCAAAAUUUCCCAUUUCUUGAAACAAGAAAAACAAGUAAAAGAACAGACACAACAUCCAAAUUGCAUGGAAAAUGUCAUACAUUAAAUGUUUGUAAGACAAAUAAUGAAACAUCAUUUAUACACUUUACAUCUUAACCUUAAUAGUUAAUAUAAUCUUCUAGUAAUCAUCAAUCUAAAGUCAUGUUUGGUAUUUAGUCAUUGUCUUGCAACCUGUAACAUUAUGACAUUGUAACAAUGCUCUAAAUGAAAUUUAAACUUUUUAUAAUAAUAAUAUUUUUUUAUCAUAUUUGUGAAAGAAAAUUUGAAUUUUAUUUGUGAGAAUAAAAAAUUAUUUAUAACUCCUCGAAUAUGUAGCAGUAGAUAUAUAAAUUAAUUAAUGGGUUACAAUAAUUAGUAAUGACCAUGAGUGUAACAUCCACAUUCAUUGCUUAAACAACUACAACUUCGUUUGCAUACCAAAUAAAUAAUUUACACAAAUCAUUAAGUUCAAAUACUUAAUUAUAUGUUAUUUAUUCAAAUCAGUCGAUAGAAGAAAUUUAAAUAAUAAAUAUACCAUUUCAUGAAACAAGAAAGAAAAAAAUACACAUAAAGUUCAAAUUUCCUGGAAAAUGUCAUAAAUCGAAGACUUAUAAGACAAAUAAUAUACAACGUUUGACACUUACAAUUAUAACCUUAAUAUAAUCUUCCAAUCAUCAUCAACCCAAUGUCUUGCUUUGCUAUUUUGUCUUUGACCUGUUGGAGCUUGAAACAUUAUGGUGAGUUUGUAUACAGGAGGGAAGGCAAAAUUAAAAAAAUUAGGGGACCAGAAAUAAAUUAUAAAUUUUUUAAAAUAUUAUUUUAUAUUUUUUAAUUUAAUAAAUAGUAAGUUAAAUAAACUCUCGAGCAACUUGUCAACCAUCAAUAUCUUGAUUCUAAUACGAUUCAAUCUUUAUUCUCUAAACAUUCCACGUAACUUAGUUUCUGAACACAUAUUGAAUCUCUAUAUUUGUUGCAACUAAAUCCCGUAAAAAAAAAUUGCACACAUGCAAUGUUACUUUCGUUGUUACUCGAGGCAUUGUAACACUCAAUUGGUAUGUCUUGAUAAGUCAAGAGUGUUAAGCAUGCAAGAGACAACCACCCAUUAUUUUCAAUAGCGAUAAUAACGGAGAAAUAGUGAAAGACACAAAGAUUUACGUGAUUUGAUCGGUCAGUUGUGUUUAUAUUUAUUAAAUUGUUGACCAAGAUUUAAAGAAAUAGAUUUAAAUAAAUAUUUGGGAGUUAAAUCGUAGGUUUCAAAUCACGGAUUUAAAUAAAAGUGGCAACUUAAUCGUUAUUUUACUUAUAGAUUUUAGAGUAAUUGAUUGCAAUAACAACUAUUACCUUUGCAAUCCAGACGUUGAAGUAUGCUUAUAUAUUUAUAUAAUCAAUUAUUACGGUAAGAACUUCAGGCAUCACCCUAUAAAGGAUGAAGCAUUACUUGAAUUCCGUGUUGUGGUUGAAGCGUGACUAAAGUAAAUGGCGCAUGAACGUAGGUCGAGGAGAGAGUAAAGGCGUAGCGUUGGAGAAUCAUUGAGAGAGCAACCUUUGUUUCUGUGGUUGCAAAGCUCAUGCCAACGCAAGAUCGAGGUCCCAUCGAAAAGGGAAUGAAUGCUGCAGAGUUGUAUUUGGUAGCACUAGCGAUGCCUUCAACGAAUCUCUCCGGUUUGAAAAGAUGUACAUCGUCUCCCCAUAGUUGAGGGUCAUGGUGAAGUGCUAUGAUUGGGAUCAAUAUCUCCAGAUUUGCAGGCAAAACAAGUUUUCCCAAUCGAACUUCUUUUUUGAUCUUUCGGAUCACGGCAACUACAGGAGAAUACAAUCUCAAGGUUUCAUUGACGACCAUGUUCAUCUGCCACCAAAAUAAGUUUCAUUUAUUAAAUAAUAGUUAGGAGUGAAGUCAUAAAAAAAUUUUAAAGGGUCUGAAAUUAUAUAUUUCCAUAAGAGGUACAAUGCAAUUUUACCAUUGAAUUAGUUAAUAUCUUUAUAUAUUUUUAAAGAACUGAAUCAAAAUUUUAUCAUAUUUGAAGGGACAAAGUGUAAUUUACCAUAUAUUAGAAAUAAAAAAAAAUGCAAUUUUCUCAUUUUAAGGUGGCCAAGGCCACUACCUGUCCUCCUUGACAUUGCCCCUGAUAUUAGUAAGAAAACACCUUACUAGUACAAACAUAAGUUGCCAAUCAAGUUGACAGUAAUUUUUUGCUUGCCUCUACCCUAAACUUGUCAAUGGAUGAGUCAAAUUGGUUUUUGAUCAAAUCAAUUUGGGUUAGAUUUAGGGUUUGGGUCAGUUUUGAAGUUUGGUCACUUUUUGUCCAAUUUAGUCGAAUUUGAGUAUGGGAGUUUUUUGGUUAGGAGUUCAUGUACUUCAAGUUUGGAUCAUUUUAGGUUAUUUAUUAUAAUCAUUUUAGAUUUGAGAUAUUUCUGGUUUGAGUUAGCUUUGAAUUUAAAUUCAAAUAGUUGCCAUUUUAUGGUAAAAUCGAGGCAGGUUAAAUCUACUUAACCAAAUGCCAAAAUAAUCUAAAUCUGAACUUAACCCAACUUGUUUUGACCAUAAACCAUUAACAACCCAAACUCGCCCAACUCUAGUUUGAAAAUGACUUCAAUUAUAAAUGACAUAUGAACUAAAAAUGAUGUAAACCUCAAAUAACUUGAACUCAAAAUUAACCUAAAUUUGAAAUGAUUCGAAUUCAAAAUGAUCAAAAAAUUAAAAGCCAAAUUCGCCCGUCUAAAUUGACCUAACUUGAAACAAACCUAAGCUGAUCAAUUGACUGAAAGUACAAUGCACUAUUGAAAUUGAUAGAGAUUGUGGAUUUACUUACAAUUUUUAAUUUGGCAAUGCCUUCAGAAUUAGGAUUUUGGUCCCCAAAUACCUCAGACACCUCUUGCCUUGUUUUUUCUUGCCAUUUAGUAUGAAUUGCUAAAACAAGGAUCGUCCACGCAAGCAAGGAGUUGGUUGUUUCUUGACCGGCAAAGUAGAAUGUUUUGCACUCAUCCACUAGAUCCUCGAUGGAAAAUCGGUUUUUCUCGUCGGAAUCACGAUAAGCAUUUAUUAGUAAUCCUAGAAAAUCAUUGCCAAAACCGUCAGCUUCUCCUGUCUCUACUUUCUUUUCCCUUCUCUUAACCAUUUCCAUCACACAAUCAUGAAUUCCAUUAGCAAGUUUCUCUGAUUCUAUUUCAACCGCGGUUUUCCAUAACUUGCUGUAAAAGAAAACAUAGGUAUAAGCUUAAACCUUUCAAUUGAGUGGAUCCGUUGGUUUUUAGUUGAGUCAAUUUGGAUUGAAUCACUUUUUUGUUCAUUUCAAUUUGGGUCAAUUUGACGGUUAAAUUAUUUCACGGUUUUGAUUAAAUUUGGAUUUGGAAUACUUGUUCAUACUUUAUAGGUUGGGCAACUCUUCCAAACCGGAAGGCUCACCUGAAAUAUGGGAGGUAUUGGACAAAAGUACAAUGCUAAAAAUUAGACGAAUUUAAAAGAUGGGUCAAGCUUGAGUUUCAACAUUCAAUGUCUAUGCCCGUCUCAACCUGUUUUAUACUUCUGUAAUAUAUUUUUCUUUUUCUUUUCUAUAUUAUGCAAUUUAUAUCAUAUAAAAUUAAAUAUAUAAUAAUACACAACUACGUAAACAUUAAAAAAUAUAUAUUAAGUUGUGUAAAUUUAAAAUUUUAAUAAAAUGAAAUCAUCUAAAAUAUUAAAUUAAUAUUAAUAUUUUUUAAGAAAUUAUAUUGGCGGAUCUAAAACAAACUUCGAUUAGUUAUUUACAAAAAUGAACAAGAUUGGACAAAAUUUUAUGCUCAUAUUUCUAGUUAGGCCAGGCUUGGAUAAAAAUAAAAUAUAUUAAUAUCAUACAUAGGAUUAGCCCAACCAUGAAUUCCUCUAGAUUUUAGUCAUUCCAUGUUCAAGUUUAAAGUUUAUUUUUUUAUUAUUUAUUAAAUCUUAAUUCAAUUGACAUGAGUAUUGUUGCCAAUGCAGGAGGACCUGGGUUUGAGUGCAUUGGAGCGCAUUAUCCUCCUAUUUAUGAGUUGGAGAGGGGCUAUGAGUAAUUCUAAGCAGACCUAGGUCUACCCGAAAUUUGAGAGGGUUUGGGCAAAAAUAUUAGGCCAAAAAAAUUAAGCCCGUUUAAAAUAUGGGCCGGGCUUGAGCUUAAACAUUCAAGGCUCAAGCCUAAUCUGACCUAACCCAUUUUUAAGUUCAUAAUAUUUUAUAUUAUGUUAUUUUUAUAUAUUAUGCAAUUUAGAACACAUUAAAAAAAUAAACUUAUACUAAAUAUAUAAUACUACUCUAAUGUAAACAAUAAAAAUAAUGUUAAGAUGAAUAUAUAAAAAUUUUCAAUAAAUAAAAGUUUUUUGCAAAUAUGAGUGUGUUUGGGCAAAAUUUUAAGCUCAUAUUUUGGAUCGGGAUGAGCUUGGAAAAACAUAAAGUAUGUUAAUAUCAUAUUUAGGUCCGACCUGAUCCGGCCUAUGAGCAUCUCUAGUUCUAUAUAUUAUGUAAAAAAAACAGAUAUAGUCAGAAUAUGUAAUGAAAUUGUUAAAAAAAAAAAGCUUGGGUUUUUCAAUCAGGAGUUUGAGUCAUUUGAGUUAUGUUUAAAUUAUUUCAAAUUAAUUGUUUGGGUAAAUUUAGAUUAUGAUGGUUGACUUUUUAUGGUUGGAUGGAGUUUAGGUUGAAAUUCAUCAAGUCAAAUUUUCUAGUUGGAGUGGCAUUAAGAUAUCUAAGCUAUGAUGGUUUUGGAUGAAAAAAUGGAUGAAGCUACCUGAUGCCAGGAAUCGGAGUUUUGAAAUAAUUUCGACUAAAUAGUAUCGCCAAUUUCGUCAACAUGUCGAAAAUAUUCUUCCCUUCCAAGUAAUUACUACCGAAAGCCGUUCUCGAUAUAACUUCUGAUGUCAACAACCUGAACUCGUUAAACACUUCGAUCUCUUCGCCUUCUCGACCUUUCCACUUCUCCAACAUCGUCUCAACGCUAGCAAUCACUGCUGGAUUCAUAUUCUGCCAUACACACACACACACCAUCCAUCCAUGUUACGUCGCUUUUAUCAUGAUUACAGAUAUAAAUUCAAAGCCUUACUUUCAAGCUUUCUCCAUGGAAAGCAUGAUUCGCCAACUUCCUUUGCUUCGCCCAUUUCGCACCUUCGGAGGACGCGAGGCCUUCCCCGAGGAUCUUAUGAAUAAUACUCGAAUCAUCCUUCCUUUUCGGAAAAGACCCGUCGUUGGCUUUCAGUAUCUCUUUGAUUAAUUCGGGUUCGGAUAUCACCAGUUGAGCUCGAUUCCCCUCCCACGUAAGAUAAUUCUGCCCUAUUUUUUUUUUAAAAAAAAAAGGGGAAAUGAUUAACAUUUUCAAAUGAAAAUUAUAUAUAUAUAUGAAAAAGAACAUGUAAAUCAUCAUCACCAUAAGUGUUGAUCCAUGAAUGAAUCUGAGGAAUAACUCUGGGGACUAUAUUAUGAGUUAAGGAAGCCAUGGGUUUGCUUAAAGCUUCGUAUCUGAAACGGGUAGAGGCUUUGUUGUUGCCAUGGAUGAACUCAUAUGGAGGUCCUUUGAUUCCUUGUAAACUCAGUGCUCUUUGUAUUUUGAAAGGUAUCCACCAGUAUUUAUGAAGGAAUUUCAGUAGAAAUAAGGUUAAAGAACUUGC
rnacentral:lncRNA from 1 species